rnacentral:tRNA from 1 species
CGAUGGCCGCACGGCGCUGGAAAACCUGCACGAGCUUCUAUCGCUCGCCAACGAGUUCAGCUCGGUGGAAGAGCUGUUCGACCACGCUGCCCUUGGC